GGUUAAGCGACUAAGCGUACACGGUGGAUGCCCUGGCAGUCAGAGGCGAUGAAGGGCGUGCUAAUCUGCGAUAAGCGCCGGUAAGGUGAUAUGAACCGUUAUAACCGGCGAUACCCGAAUGGGGAAACCCAGUGUGACUCGUCACACUAUCAUUAACUGAAUCCAUAGGUUAAUGAGGCGAACCGGGGGAACUGAAACAUCUAAGUACCCCGAGGAAAAGAAAUCAACCGAGAUUCCCCCAGUAGCGGCGAGCGAACGGGGAGGAGCCCAGAGCCUGAAUCAGCAUGUGUGUUAGUGGAAGCGUCUGGAAAGGCGCGCGAUACAGGGUGACAGCCCCGUACACAAAAGCGCAUGUGCUGUGAGCUCGAUGAGUAGGGCGGGACACGUGGUAUCCUGUCUGAAUAUGGGGGGACCAUCCUCCAAGGCUAAAUACUCCUGACUGACCGAUAGUGAACCAGUACCGUGAGGGAAAGGCGAAAAGAACCCCGGCGAGGGGAGUGAAAAAGAACCUGAAACCGUGUACGUACAAGCAGUGGGAGCACAGGUUUACCUGUGUGACUGCGUACCUUUUGUAUAAUGGGUCAGCGACUUAUAUUCUGUAGCAAGGUUAACCGAAUAGGGGAGCCGUAGGGAAACCGAGUCUUAACCGGGCGUUAAGUUGCAGGGUAUAGACCCGAAACCCGGUGAUCUAGCCAUGGGCAGGUUGAAGGUUGGGUAACACUAACUGGAGGACCGAACCGACUAAUGUUGAAAAAUUAGCGGAUGACCUGUGGCUGGGGGUGAAAGGCCAAUCAAACCGGGAGAUAGCUGGUUCUCCCCGAAAGCUAUUUAGGUAGCGCCUCGUGAAUUCAUCUCCGGGGGUAGAGCACUGUUUCGGCUAGGGGGCCAUCCCGGCUUACCAACCCGAUGCAAACUGCGAAUACCGGAGAAUGUUAUCACGGGAGACACACGGCGGGUGCUAACGUCCGUCGUGAAGAGGGAAACAACCCAGACCGCCAGCUAAGGUCCCAAAGUCAUGGUUAAGUGGGAAACGAUGUGGGAAGGCCCAGACAGCCAGGAUGUUGGCUUAGAAGCAGCCAUCAUUUAAAGAAAGCGUAAUAGCUCACUGGUCGAGUCGGCCUGCGCGGAAGAUGUAACGGGGCUAAACCAUGCACCGAAGCUGCGGCAGCGACACUGUGUGUUGUUGGGUAGGGGAGCGUUCUGUAAGCCUGUGAAGGUGGCCUGUGAGGGUUGCUGGAGGUAUCAGAAGUGCGAAUGCUGACAUAAGUAACGAUAAAGCGGGUGAAAAGCCCGCUCGCCGGAAGACCAAGGGUUCCUGUCCAACGUUAAUCGGGGCAGGGUGAGUCGACCCCUAAGGCGAGGCCGAAAGGCGUAGUCGAUGGGAAACGGGUUAAUAUUCCCGUACUUGGUGUUACUGCGAAGGGGGGACGGAGAAGGCUAUGUUGGCCGGGCGACGGUUGUCCCGGUUUAAGCGUGUAGGUGUGUGUUCCAGGUAAAUCCGGUUCACUUUAACACUGAGGCGUGACGACGAGGCACUACGGUGCUGAAGCAACAAAUGCCCUGCUUCCAGGAAAAGCCUCUAAGCAUCAGGUAACAUCAAAUCGUACCCCAAACCGACACAGGUGGUCAGGUAGAGAAUACCAAGGCGCUUGAGAGAACUCGGGUGAAGGAACUAGGCAAAAUGGUGCCGUAACUUCGGGAGAAGGCACGCUGACACGUAGGUGAAGUGAUUUACUCAUGGAGCUGAAGUCAGUCGAAGAUACCAGCUGGCUGCAACUGUUUAUUAAAAACACAGCACUGUGCAAACACGAAAGUGGACGUAUACGGUGUGACGCCUGCCCGGUGCCGGAAGGUUAAUUGAUGGGGUCAGCGCAAGCGAAGCUCCUGAUCGAAGCCCCGGUAAACGGCGGCCGUAACUAUAACGGUCCUAAGGUAGCGAAAUUCCUUGUCGGGUAAGUUCCGACCUGCACGAAUGGCGUAAUGAUGGCCAGGCUGUCUCCACCCGAGACUCAGUGAAAUUGAACUCGCUGUGAAGAUGCAGUGUACCCGCGGCAAGACGGAAAGACCCCGUGAACCUUUACUAUAGCUUGACACUGAACAUUGAGCCUUGAUGUGUAGGAUAGGUGGGAGGCUUUGAAGUGUGGACGCCAGUCUGCAUGGAGCCGGCCUUGAAAUACCACCCUUUAAUGUUUGAUGUUCUAACGUGGACCCGUAAUCCGGGUUGCGGACAGUGUCUGGUGGGUAGUUUGACUGGGGCGGUCUCCUCCUAAAGAGUAACGGAGGAGCACGAAGGUUGGCUAAUCCUGGUCGGACAUCAGGAGGUUAGUGCAAUGGCAUAAGCCAGCUUGACUGCGAGCGUGACGGCGCGAGCAGGUGCGAAAGCAGGUCAUAGUGAUCCGGUGGUUCUGAAUGGAAGGGCCAUCGCUCAACGGAUAAAAGGUACUCCGGGGAUAACAGGCUGAUACCGCCCAAGAGUUCAUAUCGACGGCGGUGUUUGGCACCUCGAUGUCGGCUCAUCACAUCCUGGGGCUGAAGUAGGUCCCAAGGGUAUGGCUGUUCGCCAUUUAAAGUGGUACGCGAGCUGGGUUUAGAACGUCGUGAGACAGUUCGGUCCCUAUCUGCCGUGGGCGCUGGAGAACUGAGGGGGGCUGCUCCUAGUACGAGAGGACCGGAGUGGACGCAUCACUGGUGUUCGGGUUGUCAUGCCAAUGGCACUGCCCGGUAGCUAAAUGCGGAAGAGAUAAGUGCUGAAAGCAUCUAAGCACGAAACUUGCCCCGAGAUGAGUUCUCCCUGAGACUUAGAGUCUCCUGAAGGAACGUUGAAGACGACGACGUUGAUAGGCCGGGUGUGUAAGCGCAGCGAUGCGUUGAGCUAACCGGUACUAAUGAACCGUGAGGCUUAACCUU
rnacentral:rRNA from 1 species